AGUUCCCGAUUAUACUUGCUGUGUCAUCUGAAAUGUAUGGACGUAUAAAACAUGGAUUACACAACAUGUUGCCCGAGCGCAUAACCAGUCCAUUUAAUACGAAUGAGCGGCAAGAAGUGAACGACUAGCUUCGUUGCAUCAGCUUGCUCACAACCCAAACGACAAUAUGGAUCCGCAAAAGGCAA